AUUGAACGCUGGCGGCAGGCCUAACACAUGCAAGUCGAGCGGAGCGGCGGACGGGUGAGUAAUGCCUAGGAAUCUGCCUGGUAGUGGGGGAUAAAGUCCGGAAACGGGCGCUAAUACCGCAUACUACCCGAUGAGCCUAGGUCGGAUUAGCUAGUUGGUGGGGUAAAGGCCUACCAAGGCGACGAUCCGUAACAGGUCUGAGAGGAUUAUCAGUCAACCUGUAACUGCGACACGGUCCAUAUUCCUGCGGGAGGCAGCAGUGGGGAAUAUUGGACAAUGGGCGAAAUCUUGAGCCAGCCAUGCCGGGUGUGUGAAGAAGGUCUUCGGAUUGUAAAGCUCUUUAAGUUGGGAGGCGUUACCAACAGAAUAAGCACCGGCUAACUUCGUGCCAGCCGCCGCGGUAAUUC
rnacentral:rRNA from 1 species